rnacentral:rRNA from 1 species
GACGAACGCUGGCGGCGUGCCUAAUGCAUGCAAGUCGAACGCAGCGAGCUUGCUCGGCUGCGUGGCGCACGGCUGAGGAACACGUGGGUACCAACCCUGGAGUGGGGGAUACCCCGGAGAAAUCCGGGACAAUCCCGCAUACGCUCGCAAGAGGAAAGCCUUCGGGCGCUCCGGGACGGGCCUGCGGCCCAUCAGGUAGUUGGUGAGGUAAUGGCUCACCAAGCCGGUGACGGGUCCCUGGUCUGAGAGGACGACCAGGCAGACUGGGACUGAGACACGGCCCAGACUCCUACGGGAGGCAGCAGCAAGGGAUUUUCCCCAAUGGGCGCAAGCCUGAGGGAGCAACGCCGCGUGGGGGACGAC